rnacentral:tRNA from 1 species
GGCGGUGUAGCUCAGUUGGCAAGAGCAUUCGGUUCAUACCCGAAAGGUCGGGAGUUCGACUCUCCCCGCCGCUACCA